UACAGAGGGGGCAAGCGUUGUUCGGAAUUACUGGGCGUAAAGGGCGCGUAGGCGGCCAACUAAGUCAGACGUGAAAUCCCCAGGCUCAACCUGGGAACUGCGUCUGAUACUGGAGGACUAGAGUACCGGAGAGGAAACUGGAAUUUACGGUGUAGCAGUGAAAUGCGUAGAGAUCGUAAGGAAGACCAGUGGCGAAGGCGGCGACCUGGGUCGAUACUGACGCUGAGGCGCGAAAGCGUGGGGAGCAAACAGG
rnacentral:rRNA from 1 species